GAUGAACGCUGACAGAAUGCUUAACACAUGCAAGUCUUUGGCGAAGCUGUGCCCGCACAGCCUAGCCAAGGCGGACGGGUGAGUAACGCGUAAGGAACUUGCCCUGCAGUCAGGGAUAACAGACGGAAACGACUGAUAAGACCUGGUAAAGUCAGGCGGACUCAUGUCCAGCCUGAUGAAAAGAGAUGCUGCAGGAGAGCCUUGCGUCCUAUUAGCUUGUUGGUGGGGUGACGGCCCACCAAGGCGAUGAUAGGUAGCCGGCCUGAGAGGGUGGACGGCCACAAGGGGACUGAGAUACGGCCCUUACUCCUACGGGAGGCAGCAGUGGGGAAUAUUGGACAAUGGGGGCAACCCUGAUCCAGCAAUUCUGUGUGCACGAUGAAGGUUUUCGGAUUGUAAAGUGCUUUCAGCAGGGAAGAAAAAAAUGACGGUACCUGCAGAAGAAGCGACGGCUAAAUACGUG
rnacentral:rRNA from 1 species